UGUGUCAUAUAAUGUUGGUCACACAAUACAACAGAACCUGAAUUUAUCUCUCCAAUAGUUGGAUCUCUGUCACUGCUCUGGGUGGAUUCUUUACCGACUGAACUACGAGGGAAGCUCUAGGCGGUCUGAGAAUGAGAGAGAAGAUGAAAGAAGGUAAGGGGUAACUAGCAACUUUCUAAUAGUUGGCAUUCUCUCUGGAAGGAGGAUUAUCAGGCAAAAGUCUCCAGAUC
rnacentral:lncRNA from 1 species